rnacentral:rRNA from 1 species
AGCGAACGCUGGCGGCAGGCCUAACACAUGCAAGUCGAACGAACUCUUCGGAGUUAGUGGCGGACGGGUGAGUAACACGUGGGAACGUGCCUUUAGGUUCGGAAUAACUCAGGGAAACUUGUGCUAAUACCGAAUGUGCCCUUCGGGGGAAAGAUUUAUCGCCUUUAGAGCGGCCCGCGUCUGAUUAGCUAGUUGGUGAGGUAAAGGCUCACCAAGGCGACGAUCGGUAGCUGGUCUGAGAGGAUGAUCAGCCACAUUGGGACUGAGACACGGCCCAAACUCCUACGGGAGGCAGCAGUGGGGAAUCUUGCGCAAUGGGCGAAAGCCUGACGCAGCCAUGCCGCGUGAAUGAUGAAGGUCUUAGGAUUGUAAAAUUCUUUCACCGGGGACGAUAAUGACGGUACCCGGAGAAGAAGCCCCGGCUAACUUCGUG